GUCAGUGUGGCCGAGUGGUUAAGGCGUCAGACUUGAAAUCUGUUGGGUUAUCCCGCGUAGGUUCGAAUCCUGCCGCUGACG